rnacentral:rRNA from 1 species
CCCUUAGAUGUUCUGGGCCGCACGCGCGCUACACUGACGAUGGCAACGAGUUUUUCCUUCGCCGAAAGGUGUGGGUAAUCUUUUGAAACAUCGUCGUGCUGGGGAUAGAUCAUUGCAAUUUUUGAUCUUGAACGAGGAAUUUCUAGUAAGCGCGAGUCAUCAGCUCGCGUUGAUUACGUCCCUGCCCUUUGUACACACCGCCCGUCGCUACUACCGAUUGAAUGGUUUAGUGAGGACUCCUGAUUGGCGCCGCCGCCCCGGCAACGGAGCAGCGGACUGCCGAAAAGUUGUUCAAACUUGAUCAUUUAGAGGAAGUAAAAGUCGUAACA